AGGGAGGGAGGGGGUGUUGGAGUUUUAAGCUACGAACAGUUUCCUCUUCUUUUUUUUUUCCCGGGAAGGAAAAUUAAACCCACUCUCCCCGCCGUCUCCAUCCUAAGAAGGCCCAGUCAGAGGAUGCUUGAAGAGGUCUCACUCCGGUCUCCCCUCGGCCCGCAGAAGCUGCCUCCUCGGCACUGACUGGAGAGGCCUGGGAAGGCAGGCCUAGGGUAGAGCUCUCAGAGCCUUGGGCUGCUUCCCGCCAGUCGGCCUUAGGGCCAGGCUCCGCGCUGCGGGGGACUGCGGGAGGCUGCGCAAGCCUCCGGGGGACCCGGCUGAGCCAGAAAGGCGGGGGACCAGGGGAGCUGUGACUCUUGGGGAAGGAGGGUCAACCAGCAUAUCCCUGCUCCAAGCGAACUAAGGCCUGAUUUCUUCUCGCUCCUCCCGGUCUCUCUCCAGCCUUUAGGAGCUAAAAAAGGGCAUGGGUUUCAGUCCAAGUUCUGAAAUUUACGCACACACCUAACCUUAGGCAAAUGACUUCAUUUCCCUCAGCGAGUUCUGAUCUCUCCAGAGGGGGACAUCCCCUUCACAUGGGUGUGAUGAAUGAAAGACCAUGGAUGUAAAAUACCUGGAAGGCAGCAGGCACUAAGCAAAUUCUUUCAUUGCUCCCACUUCUCCCUCUCCAUCUCCUUAAUAAAAACUUUCCCACUCUGAGGCUUCAACAAAGUUCUUAAAGGCCACAGGCCCAUUCUCUAAGCACUGGCUGCGCCGCGCCAGAGACCAGCUACUGACCAGCACCCACCCAGCUGCCUGGCUGCACCACUUCUCCACAGACCAACAGCCUGGCCUACACAUCCUAGCUCCACGGGCACCCAGGCCCCAGACUUGAAGCUCAGCCUAGACUCUCUUGGGGACUCACGGGCCAUACCCAGGUGUGUGGUGAGGCUGGAGUUAGAAAAUAAAAAGUGACUGUGGAGAAAAACAGAACGAACAAGUCAAUUAGAGUCCCAUCCGCUUUGGAGGUGGGUCGAUCUGAAGGGACUUGCUUGCCAGGAGGAGGUAAGCGGCUGGCGGGAAUCUGUGCAGUUUAUCCCACACCAGAGCACCAAGUGGAGGCAGCACAAAAUCCUGCUUUCUACGCACCGGACGUAACUUUUAGACAUAAAUGCAUGUGUGCUUGUAAUGCCCCCGCACAGGCACUCCUGUUCAUGUGUGCAAACCCACACGUUCACGUCCAUUGGCAAAAACACGGCCAGCGGGAAGGUAAAGCUGGGGUCUACGGGUGCAGCCAAGGGUCCGGUGCCAGGCGGAGGGAGGCAUCUCUAAAGCGGUGAUAGCACAAUGACAUGUUAUAGUACAAUCUCACGCUCAAGUGGCUCUACCUAAGUCCCUGUAUGCACUUUCCAGGAGGCCAUGUUUUGCAUAUUUGCAAAAAAAUUCUUCAAGUGUGUGUGUACACGCUGCACAUACACAGAUGCCCCAACGUGAGGGAAAGACCAGAAACCCAAAGACGCGCGUGCGCGUGUGUUCACACAGACUUGGGCUUUGGCGCCUACACCCGGCCUGCACCCGGGCACGCGGACGCCUACACAGGCAUGUUUUACUGACGCAUCUGGGGCACUUUCUUUCAAAGAAAGUAGGGAAUGAAAAUUUAAUCUGGGAGUCACCGGGGUUCAUCUGGAGGUCGCCCAAGGAGUAGGAAAAAUUGUGGCAACGCUGGAGCGUUUGUCCUUGGUGUAGCUCCGAGCCCCGGCUGGAUGCACGCAAUAUGUUUUCGAACACUCAAGGGGCUGCCUCAAGAGCUGGAGGUUUGGGGAGAGGAGCGCUCGGUAACUCUUGCCGCGGGCUUCCCAGGAAACGUGGAAACACACCCUGCGGCUCUUGACUCCCCCCAGCCGUGGAAGCACACGGUUUCGUCGCCACCUCUCUGACCAGCAGCCCACACCCAGCGCUGACCGGCGGCACAUUCUCCCGCAGUCAGGAUACCCGCCGGGCGCAUCCGCCCGUUUCUCUCUCCGCGUCAGGUUGGGACGCGCUCGGGUCCGCUAGAGGCUCAAACGCAUCUCCCGCCGCGGGGCGCGAGCUAGGUGCUCGGCCCCGGGUUCAGAGGCCCUUAACUUUGCUGAUGUCCCCCAGCGGCGGGGGUACGUGGGGCAACCGCUAAGCCCUGUCCGCGGUGGCUGAACAAGGAGAGAAACAGGCUGUAAACACACGUCCUGACACGCAGGGAUGUUGCUCUUGGAGAAUGUGAAGACAGUUUGCUUCUUGACAAGCGAGCGAGCGGGCGCCCAGAUUUUUUCAGCCUCUCCGGAGUCUCCCCCGAGGGAAAGGCAGGCAGACAAACCACCAGAUUUGGGAGCCACCAGGGAAGGAUUCCGCAAGGGAGAGCCACCCUCCUUGGCCCCAGACCUGCUCGCCUUUGGGCACUGGCAGUAGAUGACCUGAAACUCUGAGGGUGGUGCUGUGGAUUGGGGUGGGGGGGUGGGGUGGGGAGAAGUCUCUUGGAUAAUAACUGCCAAGAAGAAAAAGGCAAAAACAACGUUUCUUCUCUGCCUUGAAAGGACUGUGUUCUUUAAGCUGUUGGCUGCAGUCAGAGGCCAGUUGCCUAACUCUGUUCUCUGAGUGUAAUGUCUCCUGUCCUCGGGGUUGCACCAUUCAGCAAAUUAUACUCCUUGCUCAUCGAAGUGGAGCUUGCUUAGGGAAGUGAGUGAGUGUGUGAGUGAGUGAGUGUGUAUGUGUGUGUGUGUGUGUGUCCCUCUACUGGGAGGCUGCUACUAGAGGUGCUGGUUACUUGGUCUGGAGAACUGGCUCUUUAAAUUUUAAAAAGGGAGGGAGCAUCGCUGGUUGGACUCCCAGACGCUGCUAUGGUCUGUCUUGACCCUAACUCUAGUUAGAGAAUGGCAGCUUCUGACAAAGCCACCAACGUCUGAAAGUCCACUUCCAGGGUAUCACACGUGCCUCCCAGAAGCCCCCCAGUGGGGUACCCUUCCUGCACUUUCCCUUUCUCUCUCACCUCUGUCUCUUGUGUGAAUGGCAGAAGACUGGUGAUUCCUUGCCACUGUGCAGGAAUGUAGGGUUGUGAACAUCAAGAAAAGAUGGGGUGAAGCUGAGUCACAGGGGUGGCAGAAAGGCCCCACGUCCUCAACAAGGACCCUCUCCCCAGGCCUGUGAGGCUUCAUUCAGCAAAGUGUGUGUGUGGAGGUGUUUUGUGUUGGUGUGAGAGGCUGCCAGUCAGCGGCAAGUGAGCUCGGGCACGGCUACCUCUUUAUGAAAUCCACUCAGUGCCUUGGUCACACCUUACAGAAGAACUGCUGGCCACCACUCUGGACAGCGGAGCGUUACUUGUUUCAAAAAGGAAUCCCAUAUUUGUGGACACAUUAGGUGGCUUGGCCCGUCUCAGGCAGAAAGGAGCCCAGUUCCUCCUCCUCUUCUCCCUGCAGCAAUCUGAACAAUUCUGCAACUGCCUCCCUGGGCGUCAGCUGAGCAGGUUGGGGAACUAACCAGGGCCCUCUCUCUAGGGCCCUGUUAAAUGCACUGAACUUAAAAUGAAACACGAAGUGUGAAUUUCAGGUUUGAAUAUGAUGCAUCAGGAAACGUGGAGGUUGGCAGCCCUUUCCCUCCUCCCUGCCUUUCGGUAGCAGGUAUUAAUAUUGUAUUAAAUGUUAUGAGAAAGUAAGGGCUGAGGAGAGGAAUGUGCUCAGAUGCAAUUUUGUCAAGGUUUUUAUCUGUGAUUAUGAUUCCAGAUGUAGAAACUCCCGGAGGAGGGAAGCGAGGGGCUGCCGGCGUGUGACAUGUGUUUUAAGGUGUUUGGCAGUGUUUCUCAAAGUGGUGACAAAAUGUUCAAUUUUAUUACAGGGCAUCGGUAAAAAAAAAUAUGAAUACUAGGUCAGAGAUUGUUCACCUCAGCACAAGGAUUUACCAUUAUUGAUUAGGGUGGGGAAAGUUUGUAUCUGGGUCUUGCUUAAAUCACACUGUCAACAAUGUAAAUCUGUCAGAUCAGAUUAUUCUUAAAGAAGAAUUGUGACAAAAUACACAAUAGCUAAUUGCAUCGUCCCACCUACUAAUUUCUAUGCAAAGAUAUAAACUGCUCUGGACGCCAAAAAUGGGGUAAAUAUUGCAAAAAUAUGUCAUUUUUCUCAGCUGGUAUAACUACAGACAUUUCCUUGAGGGUAAUGUCUUUUUAAUCGAACCCAGAAACUACCCGGUCCUAGAAGAGCCAUUUUGCUAAUUUUGCUACCCGGCUGCCUUUGAGGUCCAAGCACAAAUAACAGCAAUACGUUUCCUCACGCAGGGAACCAUGCUUUGCUGAAAGGAGAAUCAGGAAGAUUUUGCAUGAAAAAAAGUGGGGAUGGAGAGGAAGCAGCUGAACUCUGGACUAGUUGACAAUUCUUGGACCUACGCGCACUUGAGACUGGAAAAUUUUCCUGCCACAGUCUUUUAUUCCAAGGCAUCUCUGCCAUCCCUCUCGGACAGCAGGACACCCCUAAACUCUAUUUCUAAGCAAAGGUUCCUCAUAAACUUUUUAUGAGCUUCACAUACACUAAUUGACGCGAGUGCCCAGCCAGCGCUGACUAGACUGGAGGUAGGUUUGGUAAACAUUUUCACAGAACAAAAAGAAGGAUUUUUGGCUAAAGUUGUAAGACUUGGCUCCCCCCUGGGUGCCUGAUCAGAGGACGACAGGCUCUGCACACUCGCUGGAGACACUGCUGCACAGAUCACCUCGAUCACCUCGUCCCUAGCACACCCGCUACACCUCCCAGCCCAGUCCUGGAAGCCCACACGUCUUCAGCCCCAACCUCUCCUUAAUCUGGGCUAAAGAAUGUCCAUUUUUAGCUUCCCAGCCGCUGGCACUAGUUUACCAUCACAAAAGACACUAACUAGGUUCCUAGCACAAACUGCACCUUCCUUGGAAGUAAGAAGGGUUCCUCUCCUAGGAGUGAUGCAGGACGUGGAUAUUUCGAAGGGGAACAGUGAGAUUGCAGGGGAGGGGGAGGGAGUGGCCACCAUCACUCACCCUUCAUGUUCAGCUGGACCUUUCCUCUACCCCAGCCCAACUUUCCACUGGCCGGAUUAGCACAUCUCAACUGCUCUUUGGGAAGGCAGCAUUGUCUCCUUAGGUGAGGAACAGUCAUUUCCCACAUUUGCUUCAGCUGGAGCCCAGCCCAUCGCCCCUCCCCCCAUUUUAUUCUUCCAUUAAUUAAAACAACUAAUGUCCCAUCGAUUAUCUCUGCAUGAAUGAAAAUCAUCAUGGGCCCUUGCAGGUAUAUGGGAAAUUCUGUGUGCUUAAGUCUUCACACUUUGAUUUUCUAUAGACUCAUUUUCUCAGGCAUAAAGAAAUUCAAACAAAACAAAAAAACAAAAUCUCCUGACACCUUGCAAUAAAGCCCAGAGACCAGUGGUAAUGAGCUUGUAUGAUCUCUUGCAGGAAGAAAUGUUCAGAUGGUCCCCUUUUAUAACUGGAUUGUACUCUCUGGUAAAGGAUUCUAGACAGUUAAGGGAAACACUGAUAGGUCACCAGACCCACAUUUGGAAUUUGAGCUUGUGUCUAGUCAGAUGAGCUCAUCCAAAUUUUACUUUUAAGCUACUGUGUCAAUCUUUGAAAGUGAAAAAAAAAUGCAGGGGACAGUCAGCUCGAUUUGGAAUUUCCCAGCUAGUUGGCCAUUUCAGCUUGCAUCUCCGUUUCUGGGGGCCGCCAUAAUUAGAGCGAUCUAUUUUGCAUUUACUUCUCUUUGCAAGCACUACAUUAUUCACUCUUUCCUGUGCUUAUUAAACAGUGCCACCUGCACCAAAUUCAACAAAGCUCUUCCAUCAGUCAGCUCAGCUAAGGAUCCCAGACCAUAUAUUAUCAUUAAUUGAGGCUCAAUUGAAUAGUUGAAGAUAGAAGCAUGAGUAAAAGCAACACAUUUUCUAGGGCCCGUUUAUAAAAAUGUUUUAAGCAAAAAACAACCAUUUAUUCCUCUGACUGUCAUCUUUUUACAAACUCAUCUCAUUCUCUCUGUACAGUCAUUCAAGCAGCCAUUAGCAAGUUUUUUAAUUAAUGAACUAUUCCCUGCACGUCACCAAGGUGCCUCCAGUACAAAUGUCUCCCUUCAUAAGGUACUAGCAAACGCAGUCAAUAUUUGGUCACUCAAAGCCUUCGAAGCUGACCACCUCAAUAACCCUAAUGCCAUCAAAAGGAUCUGAAGAGCCAGAGACAAGUCUGGGAAGCAGAGGACAAUUUUUCAGGAACCUAGCCAUGGAUAAUCCGAAUCCAGAGGAAGGGAGUGGCAGAAGGAAGGGAACCAGAGAUGGAGAGGGGAGAGGCAGAAAAUGAAUGUAGACAGAAAUCAGUGGCUAAAGAAAGGCAAAGUUUCUAGCAAAGAUGGGACCAACUCCCAGCUUCAGUUAUGUUAUAACAAACUCCCCAUCUACAUGCUGAUGAUUUAUACAUUA